rnacentral:rRNA from 1 species
GACGAACGCUGGCGGCGUGCCUAAUACAUGCAAGUGAGGGCUAGCGGCGGAUGGGUGAGUAACGCGUGGGUGACCUGCCCUGCACUUCGGGAUAAGCCUGGGAAACUGGGUCUAAUACCGGAUAGUGUGGGAUGGGCCCGCGGCCUAUCAGCUUGUUGGUGGGGUAAUGGCCUACCAAGGCGGCGACGGGUAGCCGGCCUGAGAGGGUGGACGGCCACAUUGGGACUGAGACACGGCCCAGACUCCUACGGGAGGCAGCAGUGGGGAAUAUUGCACAAUGGGCGGAAGCCUGAUGCAGCGACGCCGCGUGGGGGAUGACGGCCUUCGGGUUGUAAACUCCUUUCACCAUCGACGCGGUAGAUGGAGAAGAAGCACCGGCUAACUACGUGCCAGCCGCCGCGGUAAUUC